rnacentral:rRNA from 1 species
UACGUAGGGUGCAAGCGUUGUCCGGAUUUAUUGGGCGUAAAGAGCUCGUAGGCGGUUUGUCGCGUCGGAUGUGAAAACCCGGGGCUCAACUCCGGGCCUGCAGCCGAUACGGGCAGACUAGAGUUCGGCAGGGGAGACUGGAAUUCCUGGUGUAGCGGUGAAAUGCGCAGAUAUCAGGAGGAACACCGGUGGCGAAGGCGGGUCUCUGGGCCGAUACUGACGCUGAGGAGCGAAAGCGUGGGGAGCGAACAGG